GCACCGGCUAACUACGUGCCAGCAGCCGCGGUAAUACGUAGGGUGCGAGCGUUAUCCGGAUUUAUUGGGCGUAAAGGGCUCGUAGGCGGUUCGUCGCGUCCGGUGUGAAAGUCCAUCGCCUAACGGUGGAUCUGCGCCGGGUACGGGCGGGCUGGAGUGCGGUAGGGGAGACUGGAAUUCCCGGUGUAACGGUGGAAUGUGUAGAUAUCGGGAAGAACACCAAUGGCGAAGGCAGGUCUCUGGGCCGUCACUGACGCUGAGGAGCGAAAGCGUGGGGAGCGAACAGGAUUAGAUACCCUGGUAGUCCACGCCGUAAACGGUGGAUGCUGGAUGUGGGGCCCUUUCCACGGGUCCCGUGUCGGAGCCAACGCGUUAAGCAUCCCGCCUGGGGAGUACGGCCGCAAGGCUAAAACUCAAAGAAAUUGACGGGGGCCCGCACAAGCGGCGGAGCAUGCGGAUUAAUUCGAUGCAACGCGAAGAACCUUACCUGGGCUUGACAUGUGCCGGAUCGCCGUGGAGACACGGUUUCCCUUCGGGGCCGGUUCACAGGUGGUGCAUGGUCGUCGUCAGCUCGUGUCGUGAGAUGUUGGGUUAAGUCCCGCAACGAGCGCAACCCUCGCCGCAUGUUGCCAGCGGGUGAUGCCGGGAACUCAUGUGGGACCGCCGGGGUCAACUCGGAGGAAGGUGGGGAUGACGUCAGAUCAUCAUGCCCCUUACGUCCAGGGCUUCACGCAUGCUACAAUGGCCGGUACAACGCGGUGCGACACGGUGACGUGGGGCGGAUCGCUGAAAACCGGUCUCAGUUCGGAUCGCAGUCUGCAACUCGACUGCGUGAAGGCGGAGUCGCUAGUAAUCGCGGAUCAGCAACGCCGCGGUGAAUGCGUUCCCGGGCCUUGUACACACCGCCCGUCAAGUCAUGAAAGUGGGUAGCACCCGAAGCCGGUGGCCCGACCCUUGUGGGGGGAGCCGUCUAAGGUGAGACUCGUGAUUGGGACUAAGUCGUAACAAGGUAGCCGUACCGGAAGGUGCGGCUG
rnacentral:rRNA from 1 species